rnacentral:rRNA from 1 species
GACGAACGCUGGCGGCGUGCUUAACACAUGCAAGUCGAACGGAAAGACCCUGCUUUUGUGGGGUGCUCUAGUUGCGAACGGGUGAGUAACACUUGAGUAACCUGCCCUUGACUUUGGCAUAACUUCAUGAAACUUGGGCUAAUACCGGAUAGGAGCCCCUGCUUCAGGGUGGGGGUUGGAAAGUUUCGGCGGUUGGGGAUGGACUCGCGUCCUAUCAGCUUGUUGGUGGGGUAGUGUCUUACCAAGGCUUUGACGGGUAGCCGGCCUGAGAGGGUGACCGGACAAAUUGGGACUGAGCUACGGCCCAGACUAGUACGGGAGGCAGGAGUGGGGAAUAUUGCACUAUGGGAGGAAGCCUGAUGCAGCAACGCAGCGUGCGGGAUGACGGCAUUCGGGUUGUAAACCGCUUUCGCCUGUGACGAAGCGUGAGUGACGGUAAUGGGUAAAGAAGCACCGGCUAACUACGUG